rnacentral:rRNA from 1 species
AACGCGAAGAACCUUACCUGGCCUUGACAUGCUGGUAGUAGAAGCCUGAAAGGGUGACGAUCCCGAGCAAUCGGGAAGCCAGCACAGGUGCUGCAUGGUUGUCGUCAGCUCGUGUCGUGAGAUGUUGGCUUAAGUGCCGCAACGAGCGCAACCCCUGUGUUUAGUUGCCUGCGCAAGUGGGAUCUCUAAACAGACUGCCUCGCUUUAAACGAGGAGGAAGGUGGGGAUGACGUCAAAUCAGUAUGGCCCUUACGGCCAGGGCUGCACACGUGCUACAAUGCAUGGUACAGAGGGACGCAAGACCGCGAGGUGGAGCAAAUCCCAGAAAACCAUGCCCAGUUCAGAUUGAAGGCUGCAACUCGCCUUCAUGAAGCCGGAAUCGCUAGUAAUGGCGCAUCAGCUACGGCGCCGUGAAUACGUUCCCGGGCCUUGUA